rnacentral:rRNA from 1 species
AGACAGCAGCCGCCGCGGGAAUACAGAGGGUGCGAGCGUUAAUCGGAUUUACUGGGCGUAAAGCGUGCGUAGGCGGCUUCUUAAGUCGGAUGUGAAAUCCCUGAGCUUAACUUAGGAAUUGCAUUCGAUACUGGGAAGCUAGAGUAUGGGAGAGGAUGGUAGAAUUCCAGGUGUAGCGGUGAAAUGCGUAGAGAUCUGGAGGAAUACCGAUGGCGAAGGCAGCCAUCUGGCCUAAUACUGACGCUGAGGUACGAAAGCAUGGGGAGCAAACAGGAUUAGAUACCCCCGUAGUCCCUGUCUCUUAUAC